UACGUAGGGUGCAAGCGUUGUCCGGAAUUAUUGGACGUAAAGAGCUCGUAGGCGGUUUGUCGCGUCUGCUGUGAAAACUCGGGGCUUAACCCCGAGCCUGCAGUGGAUACGGGCAGACUAGAGGUAGGUAGGGGAGAAUGGAAUUCCCGGUGUAGCGGUGAAAUGCGCAGAUAUCGGGAGGAACACCGGUGGCGAAGGCGGUUCUCUGGGCCUUACCUGACGCUGAGGAGCGAAAGCGUGGGGAGCGAACAGG
rnacentral:rRNA from 1 species